UCCCAUCUCCCAAAUCUCGUAUUGCUUCCCGGCUCCCCUUCCCUUUGAUCUCCGGGGAUCGGAAUCUGGGCCAGGCGGAAAUAUCGGUGUCGAGCGACACGGGAGGCGCGGGGAAGAAGCUCCCCAGGCGGCUCGGUGGCAUGGCCGAAGCCCUCGCCAUCGCGUCCGAUCUUGGCGUCCCUAUACCUCCCGUCCAGGAUUGGAUCAUUGCUAGAUUGCAGCAACCAUAUUCUUUAGACUGAAUUCCUGUGGAAGCUGAAUAUCAGUCCAGAAACAAUUCUCAGAAUUAUUGUUGAAGGCUGCUAGUGAUUAUGGAGCUCUGACAGCAGCAGUUGCUGAUUUCCAGUGGUGCCAGAAUUUCAAAGAAUCACCUAGAGUUUGGGGGAUCCAAUUUUCUGUUUGGACCAAUGGAAGUGAACAUAUCAGAAGAGCCAAGAGAUGUAGCUGGGAAAUGACAACUUAAACCUUGUACUUCAAUCUAAAUUGGUUGAAACAGGCAGCUUUGAUUGGUUUGGGCCCUGUUUGUUGUGUUAGUCCCAAAUCAGGUGUUUGGAUACCAGUCCCUGGUUGGAUCAAUACUUAUCAUAUGGUAUGAGCAAAAUCAAGCAGCAAAGCAAUCCAAAGGCCCAAUGCCAUGUUAGACUGGGUGGCAUGGAUGUUUCACCCGGAUGUCAUUGUUUUGGACAAAUUUAGAGGAAAUGCUGCAUCCUAUUCCUGCUGUCCUAGCAUCAUGUACCCGCUUCUUCGAAGCCAUGUCUGCUAUGAGGGAUUCAUUUGCAACCCUCCAACAGUUUCGUGUCAGUAACUCUUCCUUGCCGACAACACCUAGUGACUCUUCGUGAGGGGAUUCCAGUUAUGUUACGCCUCCCCAUUGGAGGGAAGGCAUGACAAGCUCGGAUGAUUCGAUGGUCGACAGUUGGAGGUAGCAAAAUGCAGAGGGCCAUCCAGUGGAGGCGACACAUGAUAUUUUGGUCAAAGGAGGUUGUCUUGGCCAUCCUUAGUCAAGAUGGGUCUGUCAGUUGUGGCUUUACCAUUUUUGUGUUGGACUGAUUGAAGAUUCAAUGAAGAAAAGGUAGAACUUGUAAGAUCAGCAGACAAAUCAAGUAACCGAAGAAGAUGUCAAUUUUACAUGCUACAGAGUUAUUUUAUGGAAUGCAAAUGCUCUUACUUUUUUAUUAUAGUCGAAGCAUGUAAUGUAGUCAAUAUAGCUUUCAUAUGGGUUUCUCUCAAACUAACCAUAUUGGAAUUAUCCUUUGAGCAACUGUUUGUAUAGUAGUAAUAUAUUUUAGCCA